UUUUUUUUGGAUUAUUCCCUUGUCUUUUUGUUGGAUUUAACCUGUGUUUGGACUUUGUACUCUGCCUUGUUGGAAUUAUCCUUUUGUUUGGACUCUUGCCUUGAGAUAAGUAGUAAGCCUGUUUUGUUUGGUCAAAAUAAAUCUUCAUUUGAAAUGCAACCUCUUGGCCCGUGUCUGCAUUUUGGAUCCACACUCCUGUUUCCCUGUCACUCAGCCUACCUGAUACACAUAUUGAGCUCUGCAUGGUCAGGUGCCUGGGUACAGCUCCACCCUCAUAUGACCACUAGUGACUGAGGAGUCUGUUUACUCCUUGCUCAGGAGGAGCACCAUCAGGAAGGAGCCAAGGUGUUAUAAACUUGUGUUCAUCGCAGCCUUCAAACUGUCCCUGACCACACGCAAAGACUCGGUGUACAACAAGACAUCUCUGUUUGGUCCUAUCUUCCAGAAGCACAAAAUCACCUGCUUCACAACAACGGAACCGCUCAGUUGAUGGUGCUGUGAACAUGGGCCACAACAUCAUGAACAUGACAUCCCUGGCUGCUACAUUUAGGGAAUUUCGACGCAGUCAUGUGACACAGCGAGUUACCACAGUACCUCGGCUUCACUCCAAUACACAAAUGACUGCAGCUCCAGUAAUUCCCUACAGGGCUCUCCCACUGCGAAUCACUUGAUCAGUUGCUUUGUUAUGAGCUGAUUCUUGUUGUGAGCAGUGUAAACGUCUCUGUCUACAGUGUGUAAUAUUGUGGCCUGCAGCAACAGACGUUUGAACGUGCAAAUCUGGAAAUUUCACAUUUCUAUCAUAACAUUUUAGUCUAUUUUAACAAGUCAGUAAAGGUGCCACUAACUGAAAAUGGGUUGUUCAUUCGUCUUUAAAAUACAAGUUGGGAUUUCUGAAAAGGUACAAGCAAC